rnacentral:rRNA from 1 species
ACUGAAUAGAUACCCAGGUAGUCCACGCCGUAAACGAUGAUGACUCGCUGUUGGCGAUAUACUGUUCAGCGGCUUAGUGAAAGCGUUAAGUCAUCCACCUGGGGAGUACGCUCGCAAGAGUGAAACUCAAAGGAAUUGACGGGGCCCGCACAAGCGGAGGAAACAUGUGGUUUAAUUCGAUGAUACGCGAGGAACCUUACCUGGGCUUAAAUGUGCUCUGACUGCUGAUGAAAGUUGGCUUUUCGCAAGAACAGAGUACAAGGUGCUGCAUGGUUGUCGUCAGCUCGUGCCGUGAGGUGUCGGG